rnacentral:rRNA from 1 species
GUGGAUUAGAUACCCUGGUAGUCCACGCUGUAAACGAUGAGUACUAGGUGUGGGUUGAGUGAAAUCAAUCUGUGCCGAAGCAAACGCGCUAAGUACUCCGCCUGGGGAGUACGGCCGCAAGGCUAAAACUCAAAGGAAUUGACGGGGGCCCGCACAAGCAGCGGAGCGUGUGGUUUAAUUCGAUGCGACACGAAGAACCUUACCUGGGUUUGACAUGGUGGUAGUAGUGAACCGAAAGGGGAACGACUCUUCGGAGAGCCAUCACAGGUGCUGCAUGGUCGUCGUCAGCU